GAAGCGGUGAUACUAACCACCCUGACCCGCCGGCCAAACACGACCUUUGGUUGUGUGGUUGGUGGUGAUGCGUGGGGCCUGAUCUGUUGUAGCAAAGUGAUGGGGUGACGCAGGUUGGUAGCCAAUGCCGCUUAUUGGAUUGCGGUGCAAGCGUGUGGCACGACACCUUUGUCAAAUGCGGGUGUCAAUAGUGUGAGGCGUGAUGCGUAAGCCCUUUUGGGUGAAGUUGGUGAUCCUGUACUGCCGAGAAAAGCCUCUAGCGAUGUGCAUGUACGGCCCGUACCCGAAACCGACACAGGUAGUCAGGUAGAGAAUACUAAGGCGCUCGGGUGAACUGUGGUUAAGGAAUUCGGCAAAAUGCCCCCGUAACUUCGGGAGAAGGGGGACCUGCACUGGUGACACACGUAUCGUGUGGUAGCUGGUGUGGGUCGCAGAGAAGAGAGGGGAGCGACUGUUUAUCAAAAACACAGGUCCGUGCGAAGACGGUUAAGUUGAUGUAUACGGACUGACGCCUGCCCGGUGCUGGAAGGUUAAGAGGACCUGUUAGGGCAAUUUUUGUCCGAAGCGGAGAAUUUAAGCCCCAGUAAACGGCGGUGGUAACUAUAACCAUCCUA
rnacentral:rRNA from 1 species